rnacentral:rRNA from 1 species
CCUACGGUGUGCUGCAGUGAGGAAUAUUGGUCAAUGGCCGAGAGGCUGAACCAGCCAAGUCGCGUGAGGGAAGACGGCCCUACGGGUUGUAAACCUCUUUUGUCGGGGAGCAAAGAGAGUCACGUGUGACUCAUUGAGAGUACCCGAAGAAAAAGCAUCGGCUAACUCCGUGCUAGCAGCCGCGGUAAUACGGAGGAUGCGAGCGUUAUACGGAUUGAUGGGGUUUAAAGGGUGCGGAGGCGGAGGGGCAAGUCAGCGGUCAAAUUGCGGGGCGCAACCCCGUACUGCCGUUGAAACUGCAUCCCUUGAGUGCGCGAGAAGUAUGCGGAAUGCGUGGUGUAGCGGUGAAAUGCAUAGAUAUCACGCAGAACUCCGAUUGCGAAGGCAGCAUACCGGCGCGCAACUGACGCUCAUGCACGAAAGCGUGGGUAUCGAACAGGAUUAGAUACCCGUGUAGUC